AGCUCCAAUAGCGUAUAUUAAAGUUGCUGCAGUUAAAAAGCUCGUAGUUGCAUUUCCGAGGCAAGGGAUUAGUCCGACCUUUGGUGGGUAUUUAAUCCUCUUGCCUCGUCCUUGAGUGGUGCUUCUUGGUAUUAAGUUAUCGAGGAGAUAGCCGCUCAUCGUUUACUGUGAGAAAAUUAGAGUGUUCAAAGCAGGCUUAUGCCGUUGAAUAUAUUAGCAUGGAAUAAUAAGAUAGGACCUCGGUACUAUUUUGGUGGUUUGAGAACCAAGGUAAUGAUGAAGAGGGACAGUUGGGGGUAUUCGUAUUCAGUUGUCAGAGGUGAAAUUCUUAGAUUUACGGAAGACGAACUACUGCGAAAGCAUUUACCAAGGAUGUUUUCA
rnacentral:rRNA from 1 species